ensembl:lncRNA
AAUUUGAAUUAUCAAAACUGAAUUUGAAAUUAUUUUACUUGAAUAUUAGAGCUAAUAUUAUGACAAAACUAUUUGAAUGUGAAUUGUGUAAAUCUGAAUUAUCAAAAUUCAAUUCUCUAAAUUCAUUUUUCUAAAAUUCAAUUUUCUAAAUUCAGUUUUCUAAAAUUCAAACCCAGAAAUUCAGAUCGUACAGAAAGUAGGUCAGAGGUCAUUCACAGGGAGGCGUAGAUGAUCUCCGAAAAGUCGAGCGAAGCAUUUUGGUCAAUUACAGAGCUGCUCAGGAGGUGACCAUUCUUCUGCGUGAUCAUGAAUCGCCCAGAGGUAAACAACAUUUUAGACGUUUCCCGAAUAUCAACACUACUGCAACGAGGCAAGUGACUGUCUUUAUGAACUGGUUACUGAAUCAUUGGCUUAUUUAAUGAUUCAGUAACCAAUUCAAUUUAUGUCCUACUAACGAUAUUGUUUUUAGAUACACAUCAUUAGUUUGUAGCUAUAUAUAAAAAUAAAUAUAAAAUAUAUAUAUUUUGCUUAAACUGUUUUUACAGGACAGCGAAGCUGUCAGAUCAGCCAGGCACUUGUUGUCUUUGCUGACCUCAAGCAGUGCAGCUGGUCCCAGUGCAUACAUAGUUUUAUUAAAAUACUUUCAUUAAAUUAAUUUCAUAAUUCAGCCUCCAUAGGCAGCACACUGUUCAGCAGAGGGCCACCAUUCAAACUGAGAUGACCAGAUCAUUUCCCGGGUUUUUCAGCAAAGGACGGGGUAAAAGGCGAAUGCUGUCAAUGCCCCCUAGCAAACCCGCAAAAAUAUUGCCUGUUAACUUUUAUCUGUUUCCUCACCAAUAUGAGCGAACACCUGAGGAGAGUGAGCAACUGGUACAUAUGCAAGCUGGGUUGGGGUGAAAGACAAUGCAAAUGGUUGAAAAUGCAACUUAUGAUGAAGUAUGUGCCCAACUGAAGGAGCUGUUCCCAAAAUUUCAGGAUGUAAAGGGGGGUUGGCUUGUCUAUAAGUCUUCAGGUGGAUGGGGCUCCCGGAAGCUUACACUUAUCCCACCCGAUGAGAGUGGGUACAGUGCCAAACAUUUGAAAGCAGCAACCCAGGGUUUCAAAGGAGUUCUUUACGAAACUUGCCCCAUUUGUCAAAAGAAAAUGCCUUUUGAUGUGAUAGAGAUUCAUGCAAGUUUUUGCACAGGUGACGGGUAAGGAAAAUCGCACAACAUAUUUUCAGUAAAUCUUAUUACAUUUUUUUAUUGUUGUUUUUUGUACUUUCUUUGUGCUGUUCAGAUUGCCACAGGUCUUCUUCACUUCUUCACUAUACAAUUGUGAAUAUUGUGUUUUAUGUUCAAAUUAUGAAUGUUCAAUUCAUUUAGAACUCUUGAAAUUAUCUAUUCAAAAAGGAAUUUUGUUCCGUUAUUGCACGUUAAUUAAGUUUGUAUAUUACAGUGUAAGCAUGCAACCUCUGGAGUUUAAUGUGUCUAUGGAAGAACCAUCCACAUCUGGAGUUUCUGUGUCUGUGACACAUACGGGUGAUCAUUUAAAUGCAGAUGAUGCCACAAGCAUUUUUACAUUUUUUUUUGGAACUGAUAAGCAUAAUACAUUUCUGAGAUGUAAAACUGAAAUAGAAUACACAAUUAGCUUCAGCUGAACUGUUAACAUGUUGCUUCUUUGUUUUUGUUUUUUUUCUUUGCAGAUUGGAAAACUGAACCAGAUAAAAAUAAAGCAGCAUCCUUAUACACAAAGGAAAUAAUUCUCCAACAUGAGAUGAGAAAGCCCCUCUUGAUGACCAUGGAUUUGAGGAUGGACAAGGAAAAUCAAGACAGAGAACUUGCUGUAAAUUGCGGUUAUAUUCAGGAGUUAUGUGAAAUCUAAUACAGACACCAUGUCUACAAAUGAAGUUACAGUCCCACAGUUUGUCCUGCAUUGUUUGGACUUGUUGUUCAAUAAUUUUGAUGCAGUUCAUCUAUGCACACGUUCAUGUAGUAUUGCAGUUUUAUUUUUGAGACUUUGGAAACUUCCAUGCAAUAAUGUUACAGUUUUUCUAUCAAAUACAUUUAAAUUCAGUUCCAGAACUCCAUGUGUCUACUCAAUGUGUCAUUACUCAAGUGACUGGCAAAACUGCACUGCAGCCAUGUAAAUGUCUAUCCCAUGGGAUUGUGAUGGUGAUCUUGGAUCCACUGUGUCCUUUAGUGCUGCAAGCUGCUCUGCUAUAAGUGGACAUUCCACAAUAGGAACAUUAACACCAACACUUUCACCAGGAGGCAAUCAAUGAACAGCAAUGUUCAGUUCCUGUGUAAACAAAGAACAACAUAUUUCUGUAUAAAUCGUGUAUAAUCUCAGCUGUAAUAGUUCCAAAUACUAAGUGUUUAAACACCAGUUAAGGAACAUUUAAUUUUCACAACCCCUGUAAUAAUGUAAACAUGGCUUUAAAUUAGCAUUAACAAAAUACCUCUUCAUCUUGGGGAUCAUCAACUGGAUAAUGAAUUUGACCCAAUUCCCAGAGCUGGUUUGGAGACAUGUUGUGUUCUGUUCUCGAAGGGUGAUUAUCCCAACCAUCUCGGAAAAUGCUCAGAUCAUCUUGUAGCCGUGGUAGAAAUGUGUAGUGGCAACAGAAGAGAUGUGUUUGGUCUGCAGUAUGAAGGUAGCUGGCUUCCUCAAGAUAGUGUAGUACAUCAUAGUAGACGCUGGUCACUGCAGUCCACACAUCUCUCCAAAGUCGCUCUAUUCUACAACAUAAGGCAUUACGAGAAAAGUCCUAAGCAAUCAGUUCGUUCAAACAAGCAUUUGGAGAAUAAAGCACAAGGUGACAUGUCCUCUACAUAAUACUUUCUUUGUGCUGAUUGCUUAGAUUUAAUUUACAAAUGUUUUUGUAAGUUACUAAUUAUAACCAUUUAAUUGUACAGAAAGAGAGCAAAUAAUUAUCAAAGAACAUUAUCAUUGAGUUCAACCACUCUCAAAAACUCAUAUUAUAAUCACUGAAGUGGUUUACACUG